UACGUAGGGUGCGAGCGUUAAUCGGAAUUACUGGGCGUAAAGCGUGCGUAGGCGGCUAUGUAAGACAGAUGUGAAAUCCCUGGGCUUAACCUAGGAACUGCAUUUGUGACUGCAUUGCUAGAGUGUGGUAGAGGGAGAUGGAAUUCCGCAUGUAGCAGUGAAAUGCGUAGAUAUGCGGAGGAACACCAAUGGCGAAGGCAAUCUCCUGGACCUGCACUGACGCUCAUGCACGAAAGCGUGGGGAGCAAACAGG
rnacentral:rRNA from 1 species